UGGGGAAUUUUGGACAAUGGGCGCAAGCCUGAUCCAGCCAUGCCGCGUGCGGGAAGAAGGCCUUCGGGUUGUAAACCGCUUUUGUCGGGGAAGAAAAGCCUUGGGUUAAUACCCUGGGGUGAUGACGGUACCCGAAGAAUAAGCACCGGCUAACUACGUGCCAGCAGCCGCGGUAAUACGUAGGGUGCAAGCGUUAAUCGGAAUUACUGGGCGUAAAGCGUGCGCAGGCGGUUGUGUAAGACAGAUGUGAAAUCCCCGGGCUCAACCUGGGAACUGCAUUUGUGACUGCACAGCUGGAGUGCGGCAGAGGGGGAUGGAAUUCCGCGUGUAGCAGUGAAAUGCGUAGAUAUGCGGAGGAACACCGAUGGCGAAGGCAAUCCCCUGGGCCUGCACUGACGCUCAUGCACGAAAGCGUGGGGAGCAAACA
rnacentral:rRNA from 1 species